rnacentral:rRNA from 1 species
GACGAACGCUGGCGGCGUGCUUAACACAUGCAAGUCGAACGGAAAGGCCCUGCUUUUGUGGGGUGCUCGAGUGGCGAACGGGUGAGUAACACGUGAGUAACCUGCCCUUGACUUUGGGAUAACUUCAGGAAACUGGGGCUAAUACCGGAUAGGAGCUCCUGCUGCAUGGUGGGGGUUGGAAAGUUUCGGCGGUUGGGGAUGGACUCGCGGCUUAUCAGCUUGUUGAUGGGGUAGUGGCUUACCAAGGCUUUGACGGGUAGCCGGCCUGAGAGGGUGACCGGCCACAUUGGGACUGAGAUACGGCCCAGACUCCUACGGGACGCAGCAGUGGGGAAUAUUGCACAAUGGGCGGAAGCCUGAUGCAGCAACGCCGCGUGCGGGAUGACGGCCUUCGGGUUGUAAACCGCUUUCGCCUGUGACGAAGCGUGAGUGACGGUAAUGGGUAAAGAAGCACCGGCUAACUACGUG